AAUGGGGGCAACCCUGAUCCAGCGAUGCCGCGUGAGUGAUGAAGGCCUUCGGGUUGUAAAGCUCUUUUGCACGCGACGAUGAUGACGGUAGCGUGAGAAUAAGCCCCGGCUAACUCUGUGCCAGCAGCCGCGGUAAUACAGAGGGGGCUAGCGUUGUUCGGAAUGACUGGGCGUAAAGGGCGCGUAGGUGGUAUGACAAGUCAGGUGUGAAAGACCCAGGCUUAACCUGGGAACGGCAUUUGAGACUGUCAUGCUUGAGUCUGGGAGAGGAUAGCGGAAUUCCUAGUGUAGAGGUGAAAUUCGUAGAUAUUAGGAAGAACACCGGUGGCGAAGGCGGCUAUCUGGAACAGAACUGACACUGAGGCGCGAAAGCGUGGGGAGCAAA
rnacentral:rRNA from 1 species